CGGGGACUGGGACCAGCCGAGCGCGCGCGGGAGUCGAGACGCCCGGCCCGUGCGCGCGACUGGGAGGAGGGAGGAGGGGACAGUCACGUGGGACAGGGGCGUCCGAAGGUGCCGGCUCGGAUGGGCUCGGCUCGGCCGCCGCCACACCGCCCGGGCCUCCCGGGCCUCCCCGGCCUCCCGCCCUCGCGCCCCUCGGGAGGCUGUAGUCCUGCCCCCGGCGCGGCCAGCCCGCGCUCCCGCACACCCCGCCCGCUCGCCCGCGCGUGUGUACGUGCGCCGGAGGCCUGGAGAGACCGGAGUUUAACGCCCAGUCUUCUUCCUAAGUUGGAGAAAUGGGAAACGAUUUGAAAGCUGCCAACCGGAGGUGAAAAUCUUGCCACUUGUGAAACUGAAGGAACAUCCCCAAGGCCUGGCUUCUCCUUUUAACAGAAGCUUUCUUUCAGGGUCCCCCUCCUGGAUGUGGCAGGCCUCCCAGAUUCCCCUGGAAGUUCUGACUUGCCCAUACACACAAGGACCUCAGGAAACCCAAUAGUGACUUUCCUCAGAUCUGUGAAUUCCUUCUUCUGGAAAAUAACCUUCUCAACAAUUGUGUAAGUUCUCAUAAUACAUCCCUGAUUCCAUUAUAUUCAUAAUGGUUCCACUUUCAUGAAAGAGUGGCUGGCAGAGCUCAAAUCCAAGACUUCUGGGUUCUUUUCACUAUUCUACAAGAAAUCCAACUUAGGUAGAUAAGAUCUUGAGACAAAUAGCUGCAUGUAAGUGAAAAACUGAAUGACAGUGUAUGAACUACUGAAGGAGAGAUUGACAUUCAAACCGGGCUCUUCAAGGACUAGCAGGAUAUAAUGGAGUCCUUUAUGUUGUAAACAAGAAUAAAAAAGAAAGUAUAGAUAUUGUGGAGUAGUUUUUUUGUGGGGGGGGGGUCCUUUCUUUAAAAACCGUGUGAAUAUGUGGUUCUCAAUCAUUAUAUCCAAAACAUUUUACUAUUUUUCUUGUAAGCCUUGUAUUUUAUUAAUAUUUUUGUCAAACAAAUUAAAUGGUAAUAAUACAUCCAUUUUACAUGCCAGGCAGAACUUCUAAAUAGCAGAUAAAAGACCUGUUACCUCAUCAAGGUAAUGAAUUCCAGCCCAAACAAAGACAUUUCAAGAUUUUUUUUAGCUUCAGUAGCGUUACCUUGGGAAAAAUAGUCAGUUUUUAAGAUUUUGUGGAAAUACAGGAAAUAGUGUCUAUUUUUGCAAAUCAUUAUGGAUAUAGGAACCCCAAAUCUAUUGAUAUAGACCUGCUUUUUCCCUCCUUUUUUCAUUUAACAAAAACUUAGUCAUGGAUUUAUUGUGCAUGAAGCCUUCUUAGGUUUCUACAAAGAUCAUAAAGAAAUAUAACAGG
rnacentral:lncRNA from 10 species